AUGAUCAAAUGCUUGUCAGCUGAAGUACAAGCUAAAUUGCGUUCUGGUUUGGCUGUAUGCUCCUUAGGCCAAUGUGUUGAGGAGCUUGCCCUCAACAGUAUUGAUGCUGAAGCAAAAUGUGUGGCUGUCAGGGUGAACAUGGAAACCUUCCAAGUUCAAGUGAUAGACAAUGGAUUUGGGAUGGGGAGUGAUGAUGUAGACAAGGUGGGAAAUCGUUAUUUCACCAGUAAAUGCAACUCUGUACAAGACUUGGAGAACCCAAGGUUUUAUGGUUUCCGGGGGGAGGCGUUGGCCAGUAUAGCAGAUAUGGCCAGUGCUGUGGAAAUUUCAUCCAAGAAAAACAAGUCGAUGAAAACAUUUGUGAAACUGUUUCAGAAUGGGAAAGCCCUGAAAGCUUGUGAAGCUGCCUUCACUCGACCAAGUACCGGGACAACAGUCACUGUAUAUAAUCUGUUUUAUCAAUUACCUGUUAGGAGGAAAUGCAUGGAUCCUAGACUGGAGUUUGAGAAGGUUAGGCAGAGGAUAGAAGCUCUGUCACUCAUGCACCCUUCCAUUUCUUUCUCUUUGAGAAAUGAUGUUUCUGGUUCCAUGGUUCUUCAACUCCCUAAAACGAAAGACAUAUGUUCCCGAUUUUGUCAAAUUUAUGGACUGGGUAAGUCCCAAAAGUUAAGAGAAAUAAAUUUUAAAUAUAAGGAGUUUGAGCUUACUGGCUUUAUCAGCUCUGAAGCACAUUAUAAUAAGAAUAUGCAGUUUUUGUUUGUGAACAAGAGGUUAGUUUUAAGGACAAAGUUGCAUAAACUCAUUGACUUUUUAUUAAGGAAAGAAAGUAUUAUAUGCAAACCAAAGAGUGGUUCUGCCAGUAGGCAAAUGAAUUCAAGUCCUCGGCCUAGGUCUAACCCGGAACUCCAUGGGAUCUACGUAAUCAAUGUGCAGUGCCAGUUCUGUGAGUAUGACGUGUGCCUGGAGCCAGCAAAAACCCUGAUUGAGUUUCAGAACUGGGAUACUCUUUUGGUUUGCAUUCAGGAAGGAGUAAAAAUGUUUUUAAAGAAAGAAAAAUUAUUUGUGGAAUUAUCAAGUGAAGACAUUAAGGAAUUUAGUGAAGAUAAUGAUUUUAGUUUAUUCAGUGCCAGUCUUCAGAAGCAAGUGUCCUCUGAUGAGAAGUGUGGCCGGGUCAGUUUCCAAGAAGCAUGUAAUAAUAUUUUGGAUUCCUAUGAGAUGUUCAAUUUGCAGUCAAAAGCUGUGAAAAGAAAAGCUCCUGUAGAAAACAUAAGCACACAUAAUUCUAGGGAUUCGGAAACUAUCAGAAAAAAGACAAAUGAUUCAUUUUUGUACACUUACAAAUCCGAUGGGCCAGCCCAUUAUAAAAUGGCAGAGUCAUCUUUGCAAAAUGAAGACAGUGCUUGCUCACACUCAAGGAACUUAGAACAAGACACAGCUGGAGCAUCAGAAUCAGGAGAAAAUAAGAAACAUAAAAAAUCUUGCUUGGAACAUAACUCUUCAGAAAAUCCAUGUGGAACCAGUUCAGAAAUGUGUGGAAGCCCUUUUCAGACAUUAUAUCACUUUGAGGGGAGUGGAGAAGAUCUAGAAAUACAAAAAGUAAGUACUGCUGUUAAUAGCAUGGCUGCCAACAUCCUGGAAAAUAACAGAAUUCAGAAUCAACCAGAGAGAUAUAAAGAUGCUACUGAAAUGAAAUGCCAACCUCUGUCUUUUGAGACAGCAUUAUCAGGAGAACCUAGUGCUCAGAGAGAGGAAGAGAAAAGAAAAAAACCUAGUGCUUGUGGAAGAAUAAAUGUUUUUCAUUAUGGACAAGUUAAAUUAUGUUCUACUGGCUUCAUAACUCAUGUGGUACAGAGUGAGCAAACUAAAUCAACUGAAACAGAACAUUUAUUUAAAAGUUAUGCUCAACCUGGUCCUGUGAGUGCCAAAGAAACAUUUAGAAAUAGAACACACCAUUCAGUUAAGAUUCUAAACAGCAAAGAUUUAACCAGCACUUUAAGUAAAGAAUUUGCUCAACUGCCCAACAAAAGUCUGUGCAGCACAGAUCGAAGUUAUGAGCUAGAGAACAAACAUACAGCAGCUUAUAAAAAUUUUGCUAUUUUUCAGGAAAGUAGUAAAAAAUCACACACAGGUGGCUUAUUACUCGACACAUCCUCUUUCUCUUGGGGUAGACAUGUUUCAGAUGGUAGUAAGAAAACCGACAAGUUGAUUGGUCCUGCCAAACCCAUACCUCAUAAGAAGCUAAGCUUAAGUUCACAACUAGGAUCUUUAGAGAAGUUUAAGAGGCAAUAUGGGAAGGUUAAAAAUCCUCUCAAUACUGAAGUGGAGGAAAAUAAUACUUUAGAAAUCACUACCAAUCUCAGUCCUCAAGUUGAAGCUGACAUUCCAUGGAAAGACAAAAACCACUUAGACAACUCUGACAUCUGUGAAAUCACUACUAUGAAAUAUAAUGAUUCCAAUAGUAGUUGUCAACCAGUAAAUCACAUGUUUUCUUCAGAAAAGUUUCCAUUCUCCAAGGAAGAUCAUUGUUUGGAACAACAGAUGCUUUGCUUAACAGAAAGUACUGUAACUCUACAGGAGUUACCUCAUUUUAACAGUAAAUUUUUGGAUGUUGAGAAGUCACCUGAAUCACUAGCCUCUAAAUUAUCCAGAUUGAAGGAUUCCGAAAGAGAGACUCCAAGGAUGGAUGUAAGUCAUUUUAAUGAAUUGCCACAAUUAGAUUCCAGUAGGAAAGAUGGUGACUUGUCCAGUGGGUUAACCCUAGAUUCUUGUAAGUUAUUUAAAAAUGAGCAUAAAAAACCAGAAAGUGACAACAUCCCAAUGUCAGACUCUGUCACACAAAGUAAUCUCUUCAGUAAAGACAGUGAAACAUAUUCUAACAACAAUACCACUGAGAAGAUACCAGGAAAUCCUUUGGUUCUGCCCUAUGACCAUGCUACAGUUAUCAGUAAGGAUUCAGAUGUUCUUAUAGCUUCAAAACAACAGAUUGGAAGUCCUUUCUCUAUGAGCAGAAUGUUAAUGAGUCGCAUGGAAGAUUCCACAGCUGACCAAAAUGGAACUUGUUUUCAGAGUGAGGAAUCCAUAGCCAUAGCAAGAACUUGUUCUGAAAAUGAAGGGUCCAACAUAUGUUCUUUGGAUUGGCAGCAGCAUUUUGAUGUAACUCUGGGAAGAAUGGUUUACAUCAACAAACUAACAGGACUUAGCACGUUCACUGCUCCUACUGAGGAUGUUCGGGCCGCUUGUACUAAAGACCUGACAACUAUGGCUGUGGAUGUGCUACUGGAGAACGGAUCUCAGUACAGGUGUCAUCCCUUUAGAAGCGACCUUGUUCUUCCUUUCCUUCCUAGAGCUCGGGAAGAGAGGACUGUGAUGAGACAGAAUAACAGAGCUACUGGGGACGAUGCCUUUGGUCCUGAAUCGCUUCAGUCUUUGUUCUCAGAAUGGGACAAUCCAAUAUUUGCCCGUUAUCCAGAGGUUGCUGUUGACGUAAGCAGCGGCCAAGCUGAGAGCCUAGCAGUUAAAAUUCACAACAUCUUGUAUCCUUAUCGUUUCACCAAAGAAAUGAUUCACUCAAUGCAGGUUCUCCAGCAAGUGGAUAACAAGUUUAUUGCCUGUUUAAUGAGCACUAAGACUGAAGAGAAUGGUGAGGCAGGUGGAAACCUGCUAGUCUUGGUGGACCAGCACGCUGCCCACGAGCGCGUCCGACUGGAGCAGCUGAUCAUUGAUUCCUAUGAGAAACAACAGCCACAAGGCUUUGGUCGAAAAAAAUUACUGUCUUCCAUCGUAAGUCCUCCACUAGAGAUAACAGUGACAGAGGAACAAAGGAGACUCUUACGGUGUUACCACAAAAAUCUGGAAGAUCUGGGCCUUGAAAUUGUAUUUCCAGACACCAGUGAUUCACUGGUCCUCAUAGGAAAAGUACCACUCUGUUUUGUAGAAAGAGAAGCCAAUGAACUUCGAAGAGGAAGAUCUACUGUGACCAAGGGCAUUGUGGAGGAGUUUAUUCGAGAACAAGUGGAGCUACUCCAGACCACAGGAGGCAUCCAAGGGACUUUACCACUGACCGUCCAGAAGGUGUUGGCAUCCCAAGCCUGCCAUGGGGCCAUUAAGUUUAAUGAUGGCCUGAGCUUCGAGGAGAGCUGUCGCCUUAUUGAAGCGCUAUCCUGGUGCCAGCUGCCGUUCCAGUGUGCUCAUGGCAGGCCCUCCAUGCUGCCAUUAGCUAACAUCGACCACUUGGAGCAGGAAAAACAGACUAAACCCAAUCUUGCUAAACUUCGCAGAAUGGCUCAGGCCUGGCAUCUCUUUGGAAAAGGAGAAGGAUGUGAUGUAGGGCAAGGCCUGCAGGCAUCCAUGCCUCCUUGUGAGCUGCCAAGAGAGCAGAAUUACUCUCUGUAAGGACCCAAAGGGAUGCUGACUGUAGGCCUUUGAGCAGAGAGCAUGAGCAACAGACACCAAUCGGGUCUUGACUGAAUGGGCCUGGGGCCCUGAUCAGCAUCUCCAUCUUCCCUGAGCAGGUGAUCCCUCCAGUUGAGGAGCCAGAUGGAUUUCAAGCCUAAAGACAGGUCAUUCAUUGGCAUCCAUGGACACAGGAGGUUGCCUUCUAAUGUCUACAUUUUGUAAUUUAUAAAGGGGAUAAAAUUUAAUGACUAAUUGUC
rnacentral:lncRNA from 1 species